AUCUUUUGAGUAUGAAGCUGUACGUUUGCCUUCCAAGCAAGAGGAUUAAAAAUAAUUUAAAAAAGAUA
rnacentral:tRNA from 1 species